rnacentral:rRNA from 1 species
UACGUAGGGUGCGAGCGUUAAUCGGAAUUACUGGGCGUAAAGCGUGCGCAGGCGGUUUUGUAAGCCAGAUGUGAAAUCCCCGGGCUUAACCUGGGAAUGGCAUUUGGGACUGCAAGGCUGGAGUUUGGCAGAGGAGACUGGAAUUCCUGGUGUAGCAGUGAAAUGCGUAGAUAUCAGGAGGAAUACCGAUGGCGAAGGCAGGUCUCUGGGCUAUAACUGACGCUCAUGCACGAAAGCGUGGGGAGCAAACAGGAUUAGAGUACCC